CCUACGGGAGGCAGCAGUGAGGAAUAUUGGUCAAUGGGCGCGAGCCUGAACCAGCCAAGUAGCGUGAAGGAUGACUGCCCUACGGGUUGUAAACUUCUUUUAUAAAGGAAUAAAGUGAGGCACGUGUGCCUUUUUGCAUGUACUUUAUGAAUAAGGAUCGGCUAACUCCGUGCCAGCAGCCGCGGUAAUACGGAGGAUCCGAGCGUUAUCCGGAUUUAUUGGGUUGAAAGGGAGCGUAGAUGGGUUGUUAAGUCAGUUGUGAAAGUUUGCGGCUCAACCGUAAAAUUGCAAUUGAUACUGGCGGCCUGGAGUGCGGUAGAGGUAGGCGGAAUUCGUAGUGUAGCGGUGAAAUGCUUAGAUAUCGCGAAGAACUCCAGUGGCGAAGGCGGCCUGCUAGACAGCAACUGACAUUGAGGCUCGAAAGUGUGGGGAUCAAACAGGAUUAGAGACCCCGGUAGUC
rnacentral:rRNA from 1 species